CUAUGAUCUCAGAUCAGACGUAGCAACCAGCUGAAUUUAAGCAUAUUAGUAAGUGGAUGAAAAGAAACUAAACAGGGCUCCUCAGUAACUGCGAGUGAGAAGGAAGAGCCCAGCAUUGAAUCCCCAUCUGCCAGCAGGUACAGGAAAUGUGCCGUACAGAAGACUGACUCCCCAGCUUCACUCAGGAUGCCCAAGUCCUUUUGAUCAAGCUUAACCCACGGCCGGUGGUAGGCAGGUAGCGGCACACCCUGCACCGGUUUUGGGACUUCUUGGAGUCAAGUUGUUUUGAAAUGCAGCCCAAAGCAUGUGGUUAACUCCAUCUAAGCCUAAAUACAGGCGUGAGCCCAAUAGCCAACAAGUACCGUAAUUGAAAGUUGCAAAGAACUUUGAAGCAAGAAAACAAGAUUGUGUGAAACCGACAAUAGGUAAACAGGUGGGUCCGUGCAAUCUGCCAGGAGGAUUCAAUACAGCGGACAUGUCUGUCACCCAGAACAGCAGAAGCCCUUGCUGGACCUCUGCCUGGGUGCACCCAACCCCCAAACAGGUCGGCUGGGAAGGCCCUGGGGGCAGGUGGUUCUUGGCUAUGCAGAGAGUGUUACAGCCCACUGGCAGCAGUUUCAACGAGUCCACGGGCCAAGGAGAUUGACCACCACCACGCCCUCCUCCAGCAACUGUCUGGGAACCUCUUGUGUGUUGCUAGGAUGGCGACAGCAGACGGGGCCCCCUGCUCUUGGUGUGAUUGUCGACUGGCUGGACUGUCCUAAGUGAACCUCUACUGCUGCCAGGCAGGUGGCCCACGAAGGGCACCAGGCAUCUGAGGUGAUGUUGGUUACCCACCUUACCCGUCUUGAAACAUGGACCAAGGAGUGUAACAUGUGCGCGAGUUGGAGGGCCGAAUGAAACCCUGUAGCCCAAUGAAGAUGAGAGCCAGUGCGAGCUGGCUGAGGUGGGAUUGCAUCGUGGCAGGAACACCACCAGCCUGUUUGACCCACUCUGUUGGGGAGGUGGAGCAUGAGCGUGUGUGAUAGGACCCGAAAGAUGGUAAACUAUGCCUGGGAAAGGCAAAGCCAAAGGAAAGUCUGGUCGAGGUCCAUAGCGGUCCUGCAAAUUGGUCAACCCGCCUGGCUAUAAGGGUGAAAGACUAAUCAAAUCAUAUAGUAUCUGGUUCCCUUUGAAGUUUCCUUCAGGAUUGCUGGUCCACAGAAACCCAGUUUUAUCUGGUAAAGCGAAUGAUUAGAGUCUUGGGGCAGAAAUUAUCUUAACCAAUUCAUUGAACGGCGAAGAUGCCCGGAUUUCUGGCAUGGAGCUGGGCUUCCAAUGUGAGUGCCCAAUGGGCCAGUUUGGUAAGCAGAACUCGUGCUGCAGGGUAAACCAAAUGGUGGGUCAAGGCAAUUAAGAUGUUGGUUGAUAUAGAUAGCAGGAUGGUGGCCAUAGAAGCUGGAAUCUGCUAAAGAGUGUGUAACAACUCAACUGCUGAAUAGACAAGACCUGAAAAUGGAUGGUUUUCAAUGGGAUCCACCCAUUGCCUGCACUAAGAGCCGUGUGGGCAUACGUCACGAUGAGUAACGGGCCCACUGUAGUGUGCAUGGAUGCUUGGGGCAAGGGCCCGUGUGGAGCUGCACCAGGUGCAGAUGUUGGUGGUAGUAGCAAAUAUUCAAAUGAGAACUUUGAAGGCCAAAGUGGUGAAGGGUUACAUGUGAAGAGUAGUUGAACAUGGGUCAGUCGAGCCUAAGAGAUGGGUGAGCACCGUUCCGAAGGGACGGGCGAUUACCUGAAUUACCCUCAGCCGAUUGAAAGGGAGUCCGGUUCAGAUCCCAAACGGGCACCCUCAUGGUGUCCAGUGCAGUAACGCACACAUUCCCGAAGAAGCCAGCGGUCGCCCCAGGGAGAGUUCUCUUUUCUUGGAAAGGCAGGGCACCCUGGAAGGGGUUUGCCCCGAGAGAAGGCCCCAGGACUUGCAUCCAGUGAGCUCUUGCUGGCCCUUUAAUGUCUGGAGGAGAUGAUGUAAAUCUCACGCCGUGUGAUACUCAUAUCCGCAGAAUGUUCCAAGGGAAUAAUGUAGGUAUGGAAGUCAGCAAGUCAGAUCUUUAACUUCUGGAUAAGGAUUGGCUCUAAGGGCUGGGUUGGUCAGGCUGGGUGCGAAGCCAAGCUCUUCCUAUGGAUCAUCCAAGCUGCAAUGGUCGUCUUUCUCCUUACCCCUCUUUGGAGUUGGGGCAGGCGUUCUGCCUAGACCGAUGCCUAGCAGCUGACUUAGAACUGGUGCAGAAAUGGGAAUCUGACUGUGUAAUUCAGACAAAUCACUGAAAGACCUGUGGCGGGUGUUGAUGCAAUGUGAUUUCUGCCCAGUGCUCUGAAUACUAAAGUGAAGAAAUUCAAUGAAACGCAUGUAAAUGGCAGGGGUAACUAUUACUCUCUUAAGGUAACCAAAUGCCUCAUCAUCUAAUUAGUGUUGCGCAUGAAUGGAUGAAUGAGAUUCCCACUGUCUGUCCCUAUGUCCCGUGAAACAACAGUCAAAGAAACCUGCUUGGCAGAAUCAGCAGGGAAAGGUGACUAAGUUGAUCUUGAUUCUAGUCUUGCACUGUGCUGAUACAUGAGAGGUGUAGGAAAAGUUGGAGGCACUCGGGCCGCCAGUGAGUUACCACUACUCUUAAUGUUGGCGGAGAGGGAGUCCCAUGGUGGGUCUUGCAUCUGGCUCCAAGAGCCUGGUACCUGCCAGGCGUGGCCCACUCCAGGGACAGUGGCAGGUGGAGUUUUAAUUGGAUGGCACACCUGUCAAACGGUAAUGCCGAUGUCCUAAGGUGAGCUCCAGGAGGACAGAAACCUUCUGCAUAGCAGAAGGGCAAAAACUUUCUUGAUCGUGUUUAUCAGUACAAAUACAGACUUUGAAAGUAGGGCCUCACAAUCCUUCUGAUUUAAGGGGUUUCAAGCAGGAGGUAUCAGAAAAGUUAAAUCCCGGACACAGCACGGUGGACUUCAGGCAAGCAUGACCUCAUGACUGCUCAGCCAUCUGAUCUGGGCAGACCGAACCGGGCCAUAUGGUCCUUCGGCUGGGGCUGACUGGCCAUCUGUUCGGACGGUCGGACCAGAUGGACUGAGUGAUAGCUUG
rnacentral:rRNA from 1 species